rnacentral:rRNA from 1 species
GAUGAACGCUGGCGGCGUGCCUAAUACAUGCAAGUCGAGCGAACAGACGAGGAGCUUGCUCCUCUGACGUUAGCGGCGGACGGGUGAGUAACACGUGGAUAACCUACCUAUAAGACUGGGAUAACUUCGGGAAACCGGAGCUAAUACCGGAUAAUAUAUUGAACCGCAUGGUUCAAUAGUGAAAGACGGUUUUGCUGUCACUUAUAGAUGGAUCCGCGCCGCAUUAGCUAGUUGGUAAGGUAACGGCUUACCAAGGCAACGAUGCGUAGCCGACCUGAGAGGGUGAUCGGGCACACUGGAACUGAAACACGGUCCAGACUCUUACGGGAGUCAGCAGUAGGGAAUCUUCCGCAAUGGGCGAAAGCCUGACGGAGCAACGCCGCGUGAGUGAUGAAGGUCUUCGGAUCGUAAAACUCUGUUAUUAGGGAAGAACAAAUUUGUUAGUAACUGAACAAGUCUUGACGGUACCUAACCAGAAAGCCACGGCUAACUACGUGCCAGCCGCCGCCGUAA